AGAGUUUGAUUCUGGCUCAGAGCGAACGCUGGCGGCAGGCCUAACACAUGCAAGUCGAACGAACUCUUCGGAGUUAGUGGCGGACGGGUGAGUAACGCGUGGGAACGUACCUUUCACUACGGAAUAGCUCUGGGAAACUGGUGGUAAUACCGUAUACGCCCUUAGGGGGAAAGAUUUAUCGGUGAAAGAUCGGCCCGCGUUGGAUUAGCUAGUUGGUGAGGUAAAGGCUCACCAAGGCGACGAUCAGUAGCUGGUCUGAGAGGAUGAUCAGCCACAUUGGGACUGAGACACGGCCCAAACUCCUACGGGAGGCAGCAGUGGGGAAUCUUGCGCAAUGGGCGAAAGCCUGACGCAGCCAUGCCGCGUGAAUGAUGAAGGUCUUAGGAUUGUAAAAUUCUUUCAGUAGGGACGAUAAUGACGGUACCUACAGAAGAAGCCCCGGCUAACUUCGUGCCAGCAGCCGCGGUAAUACGAAGGGGGCUAGCGUUGCUCGGAAUUACUGGGCGUAAAGGGAGCGUAGGCGGACAUUUAAGUCAGGGGUGAAAUCCCGGGGCUCAACCUCGGAAUUGCAUUUGAAACUGGAAGUCUGGAGAUCAGGAGAGGUUAGCGGAAUACCGAGUGUAGAGGUGAAAUUCGUAGAUAUUCGGUGGAACACCAGUGGCGAAGGCGGCUAACUGGACUGAUACUGACGCUGAGGUGCGAAAGUGUGGGGAGCAAACAGGAUUAGAUACCCUGGUAGUC
rnacentral:rRNA from 1 species